rnacentral:lncRNA from 1 species
UCAUUCGUUUCACAAAUUACAUUGUCUUCAACAUCAUUCGAUACUACUUGGUAAUUUCAUUAAUUUUAAAACAAAAAAAAAGGUAAAGCUACAUGCAGCUUACCUCACACCCUCUGCAUUGAUCCAAUCAAGUGAUCUUACGAUCUUUAGAUCUUCACAAUCUUUGAGGAAUGACUUUUGAUUUCUAGAAAUGCAUAUGUCUGCAUCGUUUUACGUAGUGAGCUUAGGACAAUGAUUGGAUGAAAAAUCUCUGGUGUGCUCCUGAUAUCUUUUUUUUUUCCUAGAGAAAACCCUGCUAUCGCAUUUCGGUCCACUACUUUGUAAAUGACUUGUCAUACCGUGUUUCCUAUUUUCAGAAAGAGCUUAAUCUGUGAUCAUCGAGGUUCCUAUGGUCAUGAUCAAUUUGUGCAAUUGAUCAUACCAUCAUCUUUACCAUAUUUUCUUGGCCGAAUGAGCCAGAAUUUUAUAUUUAGUUGAAUUCUGGCUCAUUCUAACUUUGUAGUUUACAUGAUUUAUAAUACAGGUUCCUACUAGAUACUUAAUAUAAUACGAAGUAAAUUACAAAAUUCUAUUAUUAUGCUUCCACCUUUCCCGUCCCUGCUUCUUGUGUGAUCCUCAUCCAAUCUUCUGCUAGUCUUUGCUCUUAAUACUAUCCUUUACUCUUGUAUCUCGUUGUUGUGAAGGUCUUUGUGACAUCUUCUAUAAUACGCCUUCCAAUUUCCCGUGGUCUGGUGGAUCUGUCCUCAUGCACUCUUCUAUUUCUUUCCGCCCAGAUGCCCCAUAUUGUUGCUUCUAUGAAUGCCCAUGUUAAACCCAACAUGGUGACUUUUUGGUUCUGUACUUUGUUUGUGUAACAUCCUGCUUAAGUAUGUUAACAAUCUGAUACUAAAUUGACAACGAAAUGAAUUUACGUGUCCAAUAAUCUCAUAAAUUUAAUCACCAACACUACAAAAAAAAGGACCUUGUAUGACGGCCUUUAGAUGGCGGAUUUCCGCCAUCAAUAAUUUAGUUCUUUAGAUGGCGGACAUCCGCCAUCUAUUCUUUG